CUCUCUCUCUCUCCCGCGCGCCCCCCUGACUCAAGAGGGCGGGGACUGAGUGGGCGGAGCUACCGGGCGAGAAGGACGUUGCUCACGCUGUGAGGUGGUGAGUAAGUGGAAGAAGGUUCCUCCAAGCGAGGCUUCCAGUGUGGGGAAACUAGAGAUAAGAAUGAAGAGAAGCCAAACUUCCGGUAAAGAUUGAAAGACUCUCUACCUCGCUUGUCGAGAAGGAGCCUUGGAUAUAUUUGCAAGGGAGAAACAGAAGUAGAUGUUAAGCACCGCCACCACCUGCCUACCGAAUGUCAACCUUCUACAUUAACCAUCAUUCAUGUGUUGGGGGGGACGACACAUUUUUGCUAGUAUAACAAUUCUGUCUUUAUCCGUUAGUCACUGUCAUUGUAUUGCAUAAAAUAAUAUUCUUUUA